rnacentral:rRNA from 1 species
AGCAGCCGCGGUAAUUCCAGCUCCAAUAGCGUAUAUUAAAGUUGUUGCAGUUAAAAAGCUCGUAGUUGAAUUUCGGGAUCAGUACGCUGGUCAUGCCUUUGGUAUGCACUGGUGUCACUGGUUUCUCCCUUCUGAAGAACCGUGAUGUCAUUAAUUUGGUGUCGCGGGGAAUCAGGACUGUUACUUUGAAAAAUUAGAGUGUUUAAAGCAGGCUCACGCUUGAAUACAUUAGCAUGGAAUAAUGAAAUAGGACGUUUGACCCUAUUUUGUUGGUUUCUAGGAUCGACGUAAUGAUUAAUAGGGAUAGUUGGGGGCAUUAGUAUUCAAUUGUCAGAGGUGAAAUUCUUGGAUUUAUUGAAGACUAACUACUGCGAAAGCAUUUGCCAAGGAUGUUUUCAUUAAUCAAGAACGAAAGUUAGGGGAUCGAAGACGAUCAGAUACCGUCGUAGUCUUAACCAUAAACUAUGCCGACUAGGGAUCGGAUGAUGUUAAUUUUUAAUGA